AACGAACGCUGGCGGCAUGCCUAACACAUGCAAGUCGAACGAGACCUUCGGGCCUAGUGGCGCACGGGUGCGUAACGCGUGGGAACCUGCCCUUAGGUUCGGAAUAACUCCCCGAAAGGGGUGCUAAUACCGGAUAAUGUCUUCGGACCAAAGAUUUAUCGCCUUUGGAUGGGCCCGCGUUGGAUUAGCUAGUUGGUAGGGUAAAAGCCUACCAAGGCGACGAUCCAUAGCUGGUCUGAGAGGAUGAUCAGCCACACUGGGACUGAGACCCGGCCCAGACCCCCCGGGAGGGGCGCAGUGGGGAAUAAGGGAAACUGGGGGAAACCUGAACCCCGAAGGGCCGGGGAAGUGAUUAAGGCCUUAGGGUUGAAAGUCUCUUUUACCCGGGAGGAUAAGGACGUACCCGGGGAAAAAAGCCCCGCUAACCUCCGG
rnacentral:rRNA from 1 species